rnacentral:rRNA from 1 species
UCCUCCCUCUGUCGGCGUGCUUAACACAUGCAAGUCGAACGGAAAGGCCCUGCUUUUGUGGGGUGCUCGAGUGGCGAACGGGUGAGUAACACGUGAGUAACCUGCCCUUGACUUUGGGAUAACUUCAGGAAACUGGGGCUAAUACCGGAUAGGAGCUCCUGCUGCAUGGUGGGGGUUGGAAAGUUUCGGCGGUUGGGGAUGGACUCGCGGCUUAUCAGCUUGUUGGUGGGGUAGUGGCUUACCAAGGCUUUGACGGGUAGCCGGCCUGAGAGGGUGACCGGCCACAUUGGGACGGAGAUACGGCCCAGACUCCUACGGGAGGCAGCAGUGGGGAAUAUGGCACAAGGGGCGGAAGCCUGAGGCAGCAACGCCGCGUGCGGGAUGAAGGCCUUCGGGUUGUAAACCGCUUUCGCCUGUGACGAAGCGUGAGUGACGGUAAUGGGUAAAGAAGCACCGGCUAACUACGU